rnacentral:rRNA from 1 species
UGGGGAAUAUUGCACAAUGGGCGAAAGCCUGAUGCAGCGACGCCGCGUGAGGGAUGACGGCCUUCGGGUUGUAAACCUCUUUCAGUAGGGACGAAGCGCAAGUGACGGUACCUGCAGAAGAAGCACCGGCUAACUACGUGCCAGCAGCCGCGGUAAUACGUAGGGUGCGAGCGUUGUCCGGAAUUACUGGGCGUAAAGAGCUCGUAGGCGGUUUGUCACGUCGUCUGUGAAAUCCUAGGGCUUAACCCUGUACGUGCAGGCGAUACGGGCUGACUUGAGUACUACAGGGGAGACUGGAAUUUCUGGUGUAGCGGUGGAAUGCACAGAUAUCAGGAAGAACACCGAUGGCGAAGGCAGGUCUCUGGAUAGUAACUGACGCUGAGGAGCGAAAGAAUGAGUAGCGAACAGG